AAAUUUUAAGAAGGAACUUUUAUAACAAUAUAAAAAGCCGUAAUAUUUAACUGAUGUAAGGAAAGUUAAAAGUUCAAAAGAUAUAAAUUGAUAAAAUCAUUUAUCAAACACAAAGGAAAAAAUAUGGCAAAGAUUGUGAAAUUUGUUUUUAUUAUGAUUAUCUUUAUUUUUCUAUUUCUGGUGCCAUCCAACCAUGGGGGAGUUGGUAAAUGUAAAAACGAUAAUAGUUGUUAUUUUUUCAAUUAUGGGUGCCUUCCACCAAGGAUAAUGAGGUGUUACAACAAAGUAUGCACAUGUGUUAAAGUGACAUCUUUCUUCCAUUAGUGUGAAGGAAGUACAACAAUGUUUUCGAAGAAUAUUUUGUAAACUCUAAUAUAGUUAUUGUAUUGUCAUCUCAUAAUUUGUUUUUUUUCUUCUCAUUUCAGGAUAUUGUGAAUAAUUUUGUUUAAAUUGUAUUCAUCUCUCUCAAUUGCAAAAUAUCCCUAUGAAUUUUAAUUCAAGCAUGUCUCAUAAUCAUUUCAUUCUUACCUUAUAUUAGAAUAUCUUUAAUAGUUUAGAUGAAAAUUAUAUCAUACUAUUUCUAAGCUUGUAAUUUUAUAGUCAUAUUAUAUUCUCAAUAUUUUUCUCUUUUCCAACAUCAAUUUAUAUUUCUCUUAGAUUUUAAUUUUUAUAUUGGCCUCAUAUGUAUCGUUGACUUUGAAAAGAUAUAAAAUAUAUAAAAUAUUCAAUAUAGCAAAGUAAAAGUAUACUGCAAUAAUUGAAUAUUUAGUAGAAGAUUUGUAUAUGUUUCAACAAACCAUGGUUAAUGUGUGACUAAUAUGUAAUCCUUUUUUUAAUGUUUACAAUUUUAUUUUUGUUAAUUUGUACAAAAUAUUUUAUCAAAUGUUAUCUAAACUUUUAUUUUCAUUUUUCAAUAUAGGAGUUGGUAAAUGUAAAAACGAUAAUAGUUGUCAUUUUUUCAAUUAUGGGUGCCUUCCACCAAGGAUAAUGAGGUGUUACAACAAAGUAUGCACAUGUGUUAAAGUGACAUCUUUCUUCCAUUAGUGUGAAGCAAGAUAUUGUGCAUAAUUUUGUUUAAAUUUUAUUCAUCUCUCACAAUUGCAAAAUAUCCCUAUGAAUUUUAAUUCAAGCAUGUCUCAUA